rnacentral:tRNA from 1 species
GUUGUUUUAUUUCAGGGGCCGGGGCCAGACUACGAAUCUGGGGGUCAGAGGUUCGAAUCCUUUCGGGCGCGCCA